rnacentral:rRNA from 1 species
AUGAACGCCAUGAGAUGGAACUGUCGAGGGCUUGGGAACCCUGGGACAGCUCGGGAGCUUCGCAAGCUUGUGAAGCAAGAAGGCCCCAACCUGCUUUUCGUCAUGGAGACAAAGAUCAGGGGGAAACGUGUGGAAGACUUGAAGUUUACAUUAGGUUUUUCCGGCUGUUUUGCCGUCGACAGCGACGGUUUGAGCAGAGGGAUCGGUUUGUUUUGGUCAAAAGAUGUUGAAGUUACUCUGGAGAAUUUCAGCAAGUCUCAUAUUGAUAUCAAGGUGAGUCAGAAUAACAAGACUUGGCAUCUCACUGGCUUCUACGGAGAGCCACGAGUAGAGAAUCGCCACCACAGCUGGUGGUUUCUCCGCACCCUUUUUGCUAUCCCACAUAGGGCAUGGUUAUGCCUGGGUGACUUCAACGAAACCCUAUCUGCGGAUGAGCAUUUCAGCAUACAUGCAAGGCCGGAGGCGCAAAUGCGUGCCUUCCGCAAGGCAAUCUCCGAUUGUGCACUCCAAGACUUGGGGUGGCGAGGUGUCCCAUUCACAUGGGAUAAUAGGCAGCAACGGGAUAUGAACGUGAAAGCAAGGCUUGACAGGGCCUUCGCCAAUGCCGAAUUUCUGCAGCUGUUCGAGUUCUCAAAUGUCAAACAUAUCAGCAGUGUAGAAUCGGAUCACUGUUUUUUGCUUACCGACUGCCGUGCUACGGCAACGACGGGCUGGUCCCGGGCAGCCCACUCCUUUCGCUACAAAAAUGUUUGGCAAUCACAUGCUGACUAUGAUGAGAAGGUACGAGAGAUGUGGCAGGCGGGAGCAGGCUAG